rnacentral:rRNA from 1 species
UACGUAGGCAGCGAGCGUUGUUCGGAGUUACUGGGCGUAAAGGGUGUGUAGGCGGUUGUUUAAGUUUGGUGUGAAAUCUCCCGGCUCAACUGGGAGGGUGCGCCGAAUACUGAAUGACUAGAGUGUGGGAGAGGUGAGUGGAAUUCCUGGUGUAGCGGUGAAAUGCGAAGAUAUCAGGAGGAACACCCGUGGUGUAGACGGCCUGCUGGACGGUCACUGACGCUGAGGCACGAAAGCGUGGGGAGCAAACAGG